CUCUUGCAUUGUUUAUUUUGUAUAUUGUAGUAUUGUCUAGAGCGUUAAAUUUGCUAUUUGAUAAUGAGGAAGUAUGUAUAAGAGCAUAUUUCAACAGUUUCUACGAGACCUCAUUUGAAGACCACAAUAUGAUUCCUAAUCCAAGGGUACACAAAGAACAAUAUCUACAUCAAUGCAGGACAUACCAACGAAGGCAAAACUUAUUAUUAGCAUAGAUAGAAUCAGGUGCCAAAUCUCAUAAUCAAAAAAAUCCAAAAUAGAGAUUUCAAUAUCGAUGGAUAACAAUACAAACCAAGAAAAAGCAUACGGAUAAGAGAAGAAACAAUCACACAAGCAGCAAAAUAAAGGGAAACAAAUAUAUUUACAGGAGCUACAACUAUAGAUAUAACAAAAAAAAGUGAGAUUUAUAGAUGAUUGGUAGGAUCAUUCACAUUUUUUUCUUGAAUCUUGUACAGUGGUAUUAGCUUUCAAGGUUAAUUUGCUAAGAAACAAGGAAGAGGAAAAAUUAAACAACCAAGUAGUCUAAACAAUUAACAAUAGAAAAUUGGUCUUUAAAGAGGUUAUUUGACAUACCAUAGAAGAUCCUCUAUUUUGUAGUAUAGCAUGGCCAAAUCUCAAUUUGUAGAAAAGAGGAGAUACAAUGGUGUAUUCGUAUA